rnacentral:rRNA from 1 species
CAUACGAGAUUGCCUCUUGUCUCGUGGGCUCGGAGAUGUGUAUAAGAGACAGAGGUAAUAGUCCUGUAUGUUAAACGAGAAGACUUCAGAUAUGAUCCAGAGUACCACGGGACACGUGAAACCCUGUGGGAAGCAGGAGGGACCACCCUCCAAGGCUAAAUACUACCUAGUGACCGAUAGCGUAUAGUACCGUGAGGGAAAGGUGAAAAGAACCCCGGGAGGGGAGUGAAAUAGAACCUGAAACCCUGCACUUACAAGCUGUGGAAGCACAUUUCUUGUGUGACCGCGUACUUUUUGUAGAACGGGCCAACGAGUUACGUUAAGUAGCAAGGUUAAGCACUUAAGGUGCGGAGCCGUAGCGAAAGCGAGUUUUAACUGAGCGUUCAGUUACUUGACGUAGACCCGAAACCGGGCGACCUACCCAUGAGCAGGAUGAAGCGAAAGUAAAAUUUCGUGGAGGUCCGAACCCACGAGCGUUGAAAAGCUCGGGGAUGACUUGUGGGUAGCGGUGAAAUUCCAAUCGAGCCCGGAGAUAGCUGGUUCUCCCCGAAAUAGCUUUAGGGCUAGCCUCAAGGUGAGAGAUACGGAGGUAGAGCACUGAAUGUCCUAGGGGGUAUUGCACCUACCGAAGACUAUCAAACUCCGAAUGCCGUCAUCUUAUACUUGGGAGUCAGACUGUGGGUGAUAAGAUUCAUAGUCGAAAGGGCAACAGCCCAGAUCGUCAGCUAAGGUCCCUAAAUGUAAGUUAAGUGGUAAAGGAUGUGGGAUUGCACAGACAACCAGGAUGUUGGCUUAGAAGCAGCCACUCAUUCAAAGAGUGCGUAAUAGCUCACUGGUCGAGUGAUCCUGCGCCGAAGAUUUCCGGGGCUAAAACUUACUACCGAAGCUACGGCAUCAGUAAUGAUGGGUAGGGGAGCUUCCCAUACGGGUUGAAGCAUGACCGUAAGGACAUGUGGACAGUAUGGGAGUGAGAAUGUUGGCAUGAGUAGCGAGAUGUGGGUGAGAAUCCCACAGGCCGUAAACCCAAGGUUUCCAGGGGAAGGUUCGUCCGCCCUGGGUUAGUCGGGACCUAAGCUGAGGCCGAAAGGCGUAGGUGAUGGACAACAGGUUGAUAUUCCUGUACUACCGAUAACCGUUUGAGAGAAGGGAUGACACAGUAGGAUAAGCUAAGCACACUGUUGGUUAUGUGUGCCCAAGCAUUGAGGCAGUCAAAGUAGGCAAAUCCGCUUUGAUAAUGCUGGGAUGUGAUGGGGAGCGAAAUUUAGUAGCGAAGUAGCUGAUUUCACACUGUCAAGAAAAGUCUCUAUCGAGGUUAAAGGUACCCGUACCGCAAACCGACACAGGUGGGUGAGGAGAGUAUCCUAAGGCCAGCGAGAGAACUGUUGUUAAGGAACUCGGCAAAAUGACCCCGUAACUUAGGGAUAAGGGGUGCCACCAUCAGGUGGCCGCAGAGAAUAGGCCCAAGCGACUGUUUACCAAAAACAUAGGUUUCUGCUAAGUCGCAAGACGAUGUAUAGGAGCUGACGCCUGCCCGGUGCUGGAAGGUUAAGGGGAUCUGUUAGAGCAAUCGAAGCAGUGAACUUAAGCCCCAGUAAACGGCGGCCGUAACUAUAACGGUCCUAAGGUAGCGAAAUUCCUUGUCGGGUAAGUUCCGACCCGCACGAAAGGCGUAACGAUUUGGGCACUGUCUCAACAACAGACUCGGUGAAAUUGUAAUUCCGGUGAAGAUGCCGGAUACCUGCGACAGGACGGAAAGACCCCAUGGAGCUUUACUGUAGCUUGACAUUGGGUCUUGGUACUACAUGUACAGGAUAGGUGGGAGGCUUUGAAACCAGGACGCCAGUUUUGGCGGAGCCAUCCUUGGGAUACCACCCUUGUAGUACUGGGACUCUAACCAUAGGCCAUGAAUCUGGUCUUGGGACACUGUCAGGUGGGCAGUUUGACUGGGGCGGUCGCCUCCCAAAAGGUAACGGAGGCGCUCAAAGGUUCUCUCAGUACGGUCGGAAAUCGUACGUAGAGUGUAAAGGCAAAAGAGAGCUUGAUUGCAAGACAUACAGGUCGAGCAAGGAUGAAAAUCGGACUUAGUGAUCCGGUGGUUCUGCGUGGAAGGGCCAUCGCUCAACGGAUAAAAGCUACCCUGGGGAUAACAGGCUUAUCUCCCCCAAGAGUCCACAUCGACGGGGAGGUUUGGCACCUCGAUGUCGGCUCAUCACAUCCUGGGGCUGUAGUAGGUCCCAAGGGUUGGGCUGUUCGCCCAUUAAAGUGGUACGCGAGCUGGGUUCAGAACGUCGUGAGACAGUUCGGUCCCUAUCCGUCGCAGGCGUAGGAAAUUUGAGAAGACCUGUCCUUAGUACGAGAGGACCGGGAUGGACGUACCUCUGGUGUACCAGUUGUCCUGCCAAGGGCAUGGCUGGGUAGCUAUGUACGGAAUGGAUAAGCGCUGAAAGCAUCUAAGCGCGAAGCCAACUUCAAGAUAAGAUUUCCCACCGCAAGGGUAAGACCCCAGAAAGACUAUCUGGUUGAUAGGUCGAAGGUGUAAGUGCAGCAAUGUAUUUAGCUUAUCGAUACUAAUAGGUCGAGGACUUGACCAA